AGUGAACGCUGGCGGUAGGCCUAACACAUGCCAGUCGAACGGCAGCACAGUAAGAGCUUGCUCUUACGGGUGGCGAGUGGCGGACGGGUGAGGAAUACAUCGGAAUCUACUUUUUCGUGGGGGAUAACGUAGGGAAACUUACGCUAAUACCGCAUACGUCCUACGGGUGAAAGCAGGGGAUCUUCGGACCUUGCGCGAUUGAAUGAGCCGAUGUCGGAUUAGCUAGUUGGCGGGGUAAAGGCCCACCAAGGCGACGAUCCGUAGCUGGUCUGAGAGGAUGAUCAGCCACACUGGAACUGAGACACGGUCCAGACUCCUACGGGAGGCAGCAGUGGGGAAUAUUGGACAAUGGGCGAAAGCCUGAUCCAGCCAUACCGCGUGGGUGAAGAAGGCCUUCGGGUUGUAAAGCCCUUUUGUUGGGAAAGAAAAGCAGCAGGUUAAUACCCCGCUGUUCUGACGGUACCCAAAGAAUAAGCACCGGCUAACUUCGUG
rnacentral:rRNA from 1 species